CAUUAACACAAUGGUGAGGAAUGCCUGAGCUAGUGUUUAUUUUAUAUCAUAUACCAACAUUAUUGCAGCUGGUGCAUUUAUCAGUGGCAAUUCUAAAUGUGUUACAUCUGUUGCUUCAAUAAAUCAUUAAUUUUUCAGUCCUUGGGUGGACUCUGACCGGCAAACAGCAAAACUAUUAACACAACAACUACCAGAAAGCAAAUCUCCAUCUAGCUGUGUGCCCUGUGAUGUCACCAGAGAGUCACAGUCACCCCAUGACCUCACAGUGUGCCUAGAAAUGCCCCGAGCACCCUGAGCAGCUGCAUUAAGCCAUAACCACACUGGUGUUUCUUCUGUCCAGGAGCACAGCAGCAUAGGUAGUGAAUCAACAACCUUUCUCAAAGAGGAAAAAAGAAAACUAGCAUGUAUGGCUAGAAAGUGGCUAGAUGGUGUCACAGAACUCAAGAAUGAGAAAGUUCUGAGAAUACAACCUCACACUGCACCUCCUGGUGAAGAAUGAGACCAUCUUGUUUGAAGGUAGUAGGAAGACUGUGACUUCUUGCUCAUAAUGUGGAAUUUACUCUUUCCUAAAAUCAAUCUCAAUUUGUUCCUUCCUGCUCUAAGGAUACAGGUGAAGGGCUGGCUUCUUUUUUUCACUCCAGUGUUACUCCACUGUCUGCAGUGGAAUUACACACAAUUGAUACUAGCUCAAGAAAGAAGAGAAUAAAGCCCUCCUCCUG
rnacentral:lncRNA from 1 species